UACGAGGGGUGCAAGCGUUGCUCGGAAUUACUGGGCGUAAAGGGCUCGUAGGCGGCCAACUAAGUCAGACGUGAAAUCCCUCAGCUUAACUGGGGAACUGCGUCUGAUACUGGAUGGCUUGGAUUCGGGAGAGGAAUGCGGAAUUCCAGGUGUAGCGGUGAAAUGCGUAGAUAUCUGGAGGAACACCGGUGGCGAAGGCGGCAUUCUGGACCGAUAUUGACGCUGAGGAGCGAAAGCCAGGGGAGCAAACGGG
rnacentral:rRNA from 1 species